rnacentral:rRNA from 1 species
AUACGGAGGGUCCAAGCGUUAUCCGGAAUCAUUGGGUUUAAAGGGUCCGCAGGCGGUCAAUUAAGUCAGAGGUGAAAGCCCAUCGCUCAACGAUGGAACUGCCUUUGAUACUGGUUGACUUGAGUUAUACGGAAGUAGAUAGAAUAAGUAGUGUAGCGGUGAAAUGCAUAGAUAUUACUUAGAAUACCGAUUGCGAAGGCAGUCUACUACGUAUAUACUGACGCUGAGGGACGAAAGCGUGGGGAGCGAACAGAAUUAGAUACCCUAGUAGUCC